UUGUUUCCAACCAUUAAACAACAGAAGAAGAAAAUGAGUUUUCUCAUACUUUAAUCUGAAAGUAACAGCCACGUUACCUCUGCCUCCUCCUGAGUCUUGGGAUGCAACGUUUACCUUCCAACGCAUUCACUUAAUGCAGCACCUGUCUACUGUGUGCGACAAAAACCCGCGAGGAGCACAAGGACACAGGCGGACGGACGUGUCAGCAGAGCCGAGCUGACAUCAGCUCUUCAGACAGGGCAGAACUAAGGGCUUGUUUUGGACAGGAGCAGGAGAUGGGCCAAACAGAGGUCUGAGCAGGCGUGGCCACCGCCCCUCCCAGGACAACCCUGGAUCAAUGCACGAAGAUGGCGAGACUUUCGGCUCACAGGGUUCCCUAAUCCGGGGAGAGGUAACCCCCUCUUCUACUCGGACAGCAGACAGAUGAACAGACACCAGUUAAGCAAAGAUGGGGAUGGGGAGAUGGAUGAAGAAAGGAAGAGGAAAAAGUUGUUGGGGGAAGAAAAUAGGAGGCAAAGGUCAAAUCUAAUGCAGCGUACUGCUAUGAAACAAAAGGCAGCCAGAGAAAGUCAGACAGAGGUGACAGCGAGUGGUUAAACUAAAAAGAAAGUGGGAGGUGGCUGAGGAGAGAAAGUGCUGGUGAGGGGCCUGGUGCAACGUUAGCGUGGUCAUCGUAGCAUAGCACUGAUACGCCUGCUUACUGUCCCGCUUCCAGGCUGUUGACGCCUCGUUCUGAGCUCAGACAAGAAGAGGGUGAAGGAAUCCAUGUGGGUAGGACCCGGCCCUCGGCCAAGGGCACAACAGGGAAGCUGAACAUCAGGUGCUUCAGUUCAGCUUGUUUUACUGACCAAGACCAAAGUGUAAAAGAAGCCACAGCUGCUAAUUGUGCGGUGGUGAUGAUGUCAGACCUGAGCUUUAGCUGUGGUCUGAUCCUCUGUCCCUUCUGUUUCCCUGACUUAAAGCCAAGACUGUUGCAAAGUGAGUAGCAGUAGUUCUGUCCUUUAAGAACUAGACACAAAACGGGCCGGUUUGUGUCUAGAGGUUUAUAAGUAGCUGCAGAAGUUGUCCUCCAGUAGCACGGCUCACCGUGUUCGGCCUGGUGGAGGGGUGAGGGGGACUGGGGGUGUCCAGGCUCCCAGCUUCCUUGGAACAACAGUGGUCUUUGAAGACACUGCCAAUUAGCAGCUGGGCCACGUACUGACAUCUGGGCCGAGGAAAUACAGACCAGCUGGGAUUAUUGUCAAAGCCAGUGACCUGUUUGCUUAACCUCUUCACCCGACCCCUGAGCUGGGGUCAAGGUAGCCGGCCAGCCCUGGUCCUCCUCUCGUUCCUCUCCUUUGUCUCCUCUCCUGCUGCUUCUCUCUGUUCUACUCCAGCCCCAUAGAGACUCUUGCUCCUGCUUCCCACGCCGUGUCGUUACUUCGAUUACAUCACAAGUCAUCAAGCACGCCAGGGAUUUGGCCCGGUCGGGUUUUCCCUCAUGCCAGAUGCAUGAUCAGCUCUAUGAGAUCCCACGAGUGUGUGUGGUAUGUAAUCCUAAUCUCUGGUUCCUCCUCUGCCAGGGUUUAAUCAGCAUCAUGAUCUGUGGUAAAACGUGUGGUUUAAAACCUGUUGUGUUCCUUGUGUUGUCACAUGGGCACUGUGUCGACCACAGCGCUGCACUAACUGCUUUUUAAGAGUUUAAAUUGAAAUUGUUCAUUAAAACUUUAAAUUCACAGUUGAAUUUGUCAGAGAAGUUGUUAAAGUUCAAUUGAAAAGUGCUGGUGCAGCUGUGGCCAGACGCUGCUCCCGGUGUUGCUCCCAUUAGCACCACUAACCCCAGUGGCCCGUCAACCUGUGUUGGAACGCAGCCGUGGUCCCUCGGUGCUGCGUUAAUGGAGCCCAGUUUUCUGAUCAUAGGUCACUGGCUUCCUGUGUGAUUCCAACACAAGCCUUUUACAAUGGCCACCCAAACACUUUCUGAUUGGCUGCUCGGUGUCAGAUCCGCUGUCUGUUGCUCUCGUCUUCUGGCCUGAUAAUGUUCUUUGGUGUGUUUUUUAUGUCGGGUUCAGAAUAACUACAAACCCUUUUGGCUCCUGCCACGGCUGCACCCCGUGUCGUAUGAACCCUUGUCCCCUCGUGAGCAGCAGCAGGGUCAGAAUCUGGUCUAAUCAUAUGUGUGGUGUCCACAUACUUUUGGCCAAAGAAUACCGAGGGCCUCUAUUGUAUUGCUGCGUUUUUGUUUCACUAUAACCUGAUGCUGGCUUCUCCACGUCAGCACACUGAUGCAGGUACCACAUGUGAUGGGUAAAUGCCACCCUGAGUCAUGGCUGCAGGCAGGAAACUGGCUCA